rnacentral:rRNA from 1 species
UCCUACGGGAUGCAGCAGUGGGGAACCUUCGGGUGGUAGCAGUGAGGGAUAUUGGGCAAUGGGGGAAACCGAGGAGCACCGACGGCGCUAAAUGAUGAAGGCCUUCAGGUAGUAAAACCCUUUUAAUACCGACGAGAAGAAGGAAACUGUUAAAUAAGCCUCAAAACCC